GGCCGAGUGACAGCUAGUUGGUAGUCAAUAGCAGUUGUAAACACUUCUGGGUCCGUCCGUUAGUCCGUCUAUUGGUCCCUUAUCAUCUGGAUUUGUCCAGAGUCGACCAGGCUGAGUUGCGUUUGGCCGGGAUCAGGCUGUAAGCCAAAUCAAUCAUAUCAUAUGCUAUCACUGCCGUCGUUCGCAGUGUGUAAACAAGUCUGAGCUGAUAAUUGGCAAUUUGGCUGUUCAUUUAGCUGCUGCUCAGCUGGCUGGAGAGGAAGUCCGAUCCGAUCUGGCUCCCUAUCAACCCCGCAUUCUCAGAAAGUCACGUCACAGUCACGUCCUCCGAUGUGGCGGCAUAGCACUGGCAUUACUCACUCUUGGUGCAGAUUAAUACACAAUUCCGGUUCUAGGUCAACCUGCAAAUGCGAAAGAGAGACGGAGAGGCGUGUGAGUGAGAUGGCGUCUACUUGCGAGCAUAACUGCCAGCGGUAUACAUGCGAAAAAAUCAACAAUUAAUCAUAGUUAUUGCGAACUUGGGAGCAAACAGCGGAAGGGAAAGUUACACAGCAGCGGGCAUCAACGAAGACAAAAGGCCCUAAAUCUUAUAGAUACUUCAAAAUCAGCAUAUGCCAGCAGUAAUAUUUAUUUUCGUUUUAAGCAGCGGGAUAUUCCGAUGAAUGGAGAGAUCGCAUCGGAGCAGACAGGGGCUUGCUCUGGGAUCUCGGAUGGCAUCCGUGUCUUUGGAGUCUGUGACGCCAAGAGAAAGAGCGUGGCAUCCACACAGAUGUACAUUCGUAUACUUUCCGCACACGCACACACACCUUUCGCUUAAUGACAAACUAAAUUUAGAACUCGGAACAAUGCCAAAUAAUCUGCCGGCGAUGCUGGCGCUGUUCCUCGUCCC